rnacentral:rRNA from 1 species
GAUGAACGCUGGCGGCGUGCUUAACACAUGCAAGUCGAACGAAGCGUAUUCAAGUGAAGUUUUCGGACAAAGCGAGGAUAUGACUUAGUGGCGGACGGGUGAGUAACGCGUGGGCAACCUGCCUUUCACAGCGGGAUAACAGAGGGAAGCUUCUGCUAAUACCGCAUAUACCUUUAUAACGCAUGUUAGGGAGGGGAAAGAAUUAUCGGUGAGAGAUGGGCCCGCGUCCGAUUAGAUAGUUGGUGGGGUAACAGCCUACCAAGUCAACGAUCGGUAGCCGGCUUGAGAGAGUGAACGGCCACAUUGGGACUGAGACACGGCCCAAACUCCUACGGGAGGCAGCAGUGGGGGAUAUUGGACAAUGGGGGCAACCCUGAUCCAGCGACGCCGCGUGAGUGAAGAAGUAUUUCGGUACGUAAAGCUCUAUCAGCAGGGAAGAAAGAAGACGGUACCUGACUAGGAAGCCCCGGCUAACUACGUGCCAGCAGCCGCGGUAAUACGUAGGGGGCAAGCGUUAUCCGGAAUUACUGGGUGUAAAGGGAGCGUAGACGGUUAAACAAGUCUGAAGUGAAAUGCCGGGGCUCAACCCCGGAGCUGCUUUGGGAACUGUAGAACUGGAGUGUCGGAGGGGUAAGCGGAAUUCCCAGUGUAGCGGUGAAAUGCGUAGAUAUUGGGAGGAACACCGGCGGCGAAGGCGGCUUACUGGACGACAACUGACGUUGAGGCUCGAAGGCGUGGGUAGCAAACAGG